GAGCUUAUAGGCGAUAAUAUCACCAUUUGAACAAAGUUUCAUCCUGACAAUUCAAUUGAUGGUGCUGGAUGACAAUAGAGAUUCACAGCACUUUUGGACAAGUUUGCUUAAGAAGUAUGUGGAGGAGGGUAUUCUGGGAAGAUGGCAGCAUCAGAAGCACCAGGAUUUGUUUACCCACCUAGACAACAAUUGUACUGGCAAAAUAUUUCUGAUGUAAAUAU
rnacentral:lncRNA from 1 species